rnacentral:rRNA from 1 species
UUGGAGGGCAAGUCUGGUGCCAGCAGCCGCGGUAAUUCCAGCUCCAAUAGCGUAUAUUAAAGUUGUUGCAGUUAAAAAGCUCGUAGUUGAAUUUCGGGAUCAGACUGUCGGUCGUGCCUCGGUACGCACUGGCAUUAUUGGUUCCUACCUUCUGAAGAACCGCGAUGUCAUUAAUUUGGUGUCGCGGGGAAUCAGGACUGUUACUUUGAAAAAAUUAGAGUGUUUAAAGCAGGCGCACGCUUGAAUACAUUAGCAUGGAAUAAUGAAAUAGGACGUUUGAUUCUAUUUUGUUGGUUUCUAGGAUCGACGUAAUGAUUAAUAGGGAUAGUUGGGGGCAUUAGUAUUCAAUUGUCAGAGGUGAAAUUCUUGGAUUUAUUGAAGACUAACUACUGCGAAAGCAUUUGCCAAGGAUGUUUUCAUUAAUCAAGAACGAAAGUUAGGGGAUCGAAGACGAUCAGAUACCGUCGUAGUCUUAACCAUAAACUAUGCCGACUAGGGAUCGGAUGAUGUUAAUUUUAUAAUGACUCAUUCGGCGCCUUACGGGAAAC